rnacentral:rRNA from 1 species
AUUGAACGCUGGCGGCAGGCCUAACACAUGCAAGUCGAGCGGAUGAAGGGAGCUUGCUCCUGGAUUCAGCGGCGGACGGGUGAGUAAUGCCUAGGAAUCUGCCUGGUAGUGGGGGAUAACGUCCGGAAACGGGCGCUAAUACCGCAUACGUCCUGAGGGAGAAAGUGGGGGAUCUUCGGACCUCACGCUAUCAGAUGAGCCUAGGUCGGAUUAGCUAGUUGGUGGGGUAAAGGCCUACCAAGGCGACGAUCCGUAACUGGUCUGAGAGGAUGAUCAGUCACACUGGAACUGAGACACGGUCAAGACUCCUAAGGGAGGCAGCAGUGGGGAAUAUUGGACAAUGGGCGAAAGCCUGAUCCAGCCAUGCAGCGUGUGUGAAGAAGGUCUUCGGAUUGUAAAGCACUUUAAGUUGGGAGGAAGGGCAGUAAGUUAAUACCUUGCUGUUUUGACGUUACCAACAGAAUAAGAACCGGCUAACUUCGUG